rnacentral:rRNA from 1 species
AUACGUAGGGUGCGAGCGUUGUCCGGAAUUACUGGGCGUAAAGAGCUCGUAGGUGGUUUGUCGCGUCGUCUGUGAAAUUCCGGGGCUUAACUCCGGGCGUGCAGGCGAUACGGGCAUAACUUGAGUACUGUAGGGGAGACUGGAAUUCCUGGUGUAGCGGUGAAAUGCGCAGAUAUCAGGAGGAACACCGGGGGCGAAGGCGGGUCUCUGGGCAGUAACUGACGCUGAGGGGCGAAAGCAUGGGUAGCGAACAGGAUUAGAUACCCUGGUAGUCCAUGCCGUAAACGGUGGGCGCUAGGUGUAGGGGUCUUCCACGACUUCUGUGCCGUAGCUAACGCAUUAAGCGCCCCGCCUGGGGAGUACGGCCGCAAGGCUAAAACUCAAAUGAAUUGACGGGG